UCUAACAGAAAAUUCGAAUGAAAAUGUUUGAUCGAGAGUGAAAGACAGAGGUUCUAAUGAAAAUGUACUGCUUGACGGAGAGUGAAGAGAGAGAGAGAGAGAUUCUAGAGAGAAUGUAUUGCCUGACGAAGACCGACGAAAUUGGGAGAGAGAGAGAGAACAAUAGUUAAACAUAGAGAGAAAAUGGUAAUUACAUAUAGAGAUAGAAUCUAAAUAAAAUGUAUUUCCUAAGGAGAGUGAAGAGGGAGAUGGAAGGAUUCUAAAGAAAAUGUAAGCGGAGAGUGUAAAGAGAUAAAUUCUAAGGAAAACGUAUCGCCUAAAGGAGAGUGAAGAGGUUGAGAAAGAGAGGUUAAUUCUAAAGAAAAUAUAUUGUUCCGCUGAAGAGCGAAGAGAGAAAUUCUAAAGAAAUUAUAUCGUCCGAUCGAGAGUGAAGAGAGGGAGAGAAAGAACGAUAACUAACGAUAGAGAGAGAACAGUAAUUAAAGAUAGAGAGAGGAACUAAAGAAAUUGUAUUGCGCCUCUGAUGGA
rnacentral:lncRNA from 1 species